CCUGUUGAUCCUGCCGGACUGACUGCUAUCGGAUUGGUACUAAGCCAUGCGAGUCGUUGUAGCAAUACAAGGCGGACUGCUCAGUAACACGUAGUUAACUUAACCUAUGGAUGGGCAUAACCUCGGGAAACUGAGAAUAAUACCCAAUGGACCACAGUGCCUGGAAUGGCCUGUGGUUGAAAUGAUUUAUCGCCGUAGGAUAGGACUGCGGCCUAUCAGCUUGUUGGUGAGGUAAUGGCCCACCAAGGCUAUAACAGGUACGGGCUCUGAGAGGAGGGGCCCGGAGAUGGGUACUGAGACACGGACCCAGGCCCUAUGGGGCGCAGCAGGCGAGAAACCUUUGCAAUGUGCGAAAGCACGACAAGGUUAAUCCGAGUGUCUCCUGCUAAAGGAGUCUUUUAUCAGUUGUAGAAUCACUGGUGAAUAAGGGGUGGGCAAGUUCUGGUGUCAGCCGCCGCGGUAAAACCAGCACCUCGAGUGGUCAGGAGGUUUAUUGGGCCUAAAGCAUCCGUAGCCGGUUGCAUAAGUUUUCGGUUAAAUCUAUGCGCUUAACGUAUAGGCCGCCGAAAAUACUGUGCAGCUAGGGAGUGGGAGAGGUACACGGUACUCGAUAGGAAGGGGUA
rnacentral:rRNA from 1 species